rnacentral:rRNA from 1 species
ACGGGUGAGUAACACGUGGGCAACCUGCCCUUGAGACUGGGAUAACUUCGGGAAACCGGAGCUAAUACCGGAUAAUAUAAGGAACCUCCUGGUUCCUUGUUGAAAGAUGGUUUCGGCUAUCACUUAAGGAUGGGCCCGCGGCGCAUUAGCUAGUUGGUGAGGUAACGGCUCACCAAGGCGACGAUGCGUAGCCGACCUGAGAGGGUGAUCGGCCACACUGGGACUGAGACACGGCCCAGACUCCUACGGGAGGCAGCAGUAGGGAAUCUUCCACAAUGGACGAAAGUCUGAUGGAGCAACGCCGCGUGAGUGAUGAAGGCCUUCGGGUCGUAAAGCUCUGUUGUUAGGGAAGAACAAGUGCGAGAGUAACUGCUCGCACCUUGACGGUACCUAACCAGAAAGCCACGGCUAACUACGUGCCAGCAGCCGCGGUAAUACGUAGGUGGCAAGCGUUAUCCGGAAUUAUUGGGCGUAAAGCGCGCGCAGGUGGUUUCUUAAGUCUGAUGUGAAAGCCCACGGCUCAACCGUGGAGGGUCAUUGGAAACUGGGGAACUUGAGUGCAGAAGAGGAAAGUGGAAUU